AGUCCAAAAGCCACUCCCAAGUCGGCCUCAAGUCAAGCACGAAGCAAAAGACCACCAUUUUCAGCACAUUGGCCAGCGAAAAGUCCUUAUCUGACUGUAAAAAGCGAUGGAGAAUCUGUUCUGCAGGACUUUUCGUCAUUUUCUGGAUUAUUUACACUCAUGUGGAUGUUACCUAAUUGU